rnacentral:rRNA from 1 species
UACGAAGGGGGCUAGCGUUGCUCGGAAUCACUGGGCGUAAAGCGCACGUAGGCGGCUUUUUAAGUCAGGGGUGAAAUCCUGGAGCUCAACUCCAGAACUGCCUUUGAUACUGAGAGCUUGAGUCCGGGAGAGGUGAGUGGAACUGCGAGUGUAGAGGUGAAAUUCGUAGAUAUUCGCAAGAACACCAGUGGCGAAGGCGACUCACUGGCCCGGUACUGACGCUGAGGUGCGAAAGCGUGGGGAGCAAACAGG